rnacentral:miRNA from 1 species
CUCUCUCUCUCUCUCUCUCUCUCUCUAUAUAUAUAUAUAUAUAUAUAUAUAUAUAUAUAUAUAAAUAUAAAUAAAUAUAUAUAUAUAUAUAUAUAUAUAGAGAGAGAGAGAGAGAGAGAGGCAC